UACACUCCUGCGGGAGGCAGCAGUGGGGAAUAUUGCACAAUGGGCGCAAGCCUGAUCCAGCCAUGCCGCGUGUAUGAAGAAGGCCUUCGGGUUGUAAAGUACUUUCAGCGGGGAGGAAGGCGAUAAGGUUAAUAACCUUGUCGAUUGACGUUACCCGCAGAAGAAGCACCGGCUAACUCCGUGCCAGCAGCCGCGGUAAUACGGAGGGUGCAAGCGUUAAUCGGAAUUACUGGGCGUAAAGCGCACGCAGGCGGUCUGUCAAGUCGGAUGUGAAAUCCCCGGGCUCAACCUGGGAACUGCAUUCGAAACUGGCAGGCUAGAGUCUUGUAGAGGGGGGUAGAAUUCCAGGUGUAGCGGUGAAAUGCGUAGAGAUCUGGAGGAAUACCGGUGGCGAAGGCGGCCCCCUGGACAAAGACUGACGCUCAGGUGCGAAAGCGUGGGGAGCAAACAGGAUUAGAUACCCCAGUAGUCCCAUGA
rnacentral:rRNA from 1 species